UACGUAGGGCGCAAGCGUUAUCCGGAAUUAUUGGGCGUAAAAAGCUCGUAGGCGGUUUGUCGCGUCUGCCGUGAAAGUCCGGGGCUUAACCCCGGAUCUGCGGUGGGUACGGGCAGACUAGAGUGCAGUAGGGGAGACUGGAAUUCCUGGUGUAGCGGUGAAAUGCGCAGAUAUCAGGAGGAACACCGAUGGCGAAGGCAGGUCUCUGGGCUGUAACUGACGCUGAGGAGCGAAAGCAUGGGGAGCGAACAGG
rnacentral:rRNA from 1 species